UACGGGGGGGAGCAAGCGUUGUUCGGAUUUACUGGGCGUAAAGGGCGCGUAGGCGGCCACCGCAAGUCGACUGUGAAAUCUCCGGGCUUAACCCGGAAAGGUCAGCCGAUACUGCGGGGCUAGAGUGCAGAAGGGGCAACUGGAAUCUCGGUGUAGCGGUGAAAUGCGUAGAUAUCGAGAGGAACACCUGCGGCGAAGGCGGGUUGCUGGGCUGACACUGACGCUGAUGCGCGAAAGCUAGGGGAGCGAACGGG
rnacentral:rRNA from 1 species